rnacentral:lncRNA from 14 species
CUCCUCGGACCGCGCUUCACUUCGUCCUCCUACAAAUGAGCCCCACAACGGUACCUCAGUCCCGGCGCGGGAGCCCGGCAGGGCAGCCCCGACCCCCAGCAGCCCCUGGGCGGCUCCGAGGCCUGUCAAGACCCCCUGAGAGAGGCAGCGGGCGCACCUCCGCGAUACCUUGAGUCCAGGCCCAGCGCGGGCCGCCGCCGGGGGAGGCCGGAACGCUGCGAGAGCCGCUCGGGGCGCGGCGCUGCCUGGCCCAGCCACUCCUCCCUCCCCUCUCCGCCCCCCGGGCGCGGGCCCUAGCCGCAGCUCCCAACGGCCUUUACCGGUCACUUCUCCAUCCCCCGCCGGCAGCCGCGGCCCCCUGCACACCCGCCAACGGAUCACGUGAAGCACCAGGUCAGCUGACGCCGCCGCAGCGUGGAUCACGAGACGUCGGGGCGGGGGAGGGUGUGUGACGCAGUGACUGAGAGGCUCGCUCGGGGCCCUGUGUUCGCACGGGUUCGAGACCCGGCCGGGCUGGGCUGUCACCGUUCGCCUCUCGGCACGGCCCGGCCGGAGCUCCCGCGGGGCUCCACCGCCGUCAUGGACACCGCCAGCUUCUGCGGGACACCCACUCGAUCCUGUUGUGAGCGCCUCGGGCCGGCGGGCAGCAACUGCCUCAGCGCCUGGUCAGCACUGGCCGCCUCAGGGCCCGGCGGGCUCCUGCGACUCCCUGAUACAUCUCAUGUUGAUAGGGAAUUUGUGGUGCAUACGGAUCAGAGGGGCCUCGUUCACCGCGAGGAAGCAGAUGUUGUUAAGGAGCUUUAUACGAUUUUGCCCUCAGGGCAGAGAAGAACGGCAGGAGUUGGAGCCAUCCUACAGCCAUGGGUGACUACUGGGGAACUGCAGCACAGAGGAGGCAGAAUGCGUUCACAGAUACCACAGAGCUUCUUUGGAAUAUCAGGAUUCUGAUCUGCCUCUAACCACCAAACAAUUAAGUACUACUUUGUGCAGUCUUUCUGCUUUUAAGGGUAUGAUUUCAGUUUUCUUGUUCUGAGACUCUUGCAGCACCAGUUGUUAUCUG